rnacentral:lncRNA from 1 species
GGUUUCUCCAUGUUGGCCAGACUAGUCUCAAACUCCUGACCUCAGGUGAUCUACCUGCCUCAGCCUCCCAAAGUGAUGGGAUUACAGAUGUGAGCCACUGUGCCAGGUCUAAAUUUUAUUUUUGGAUUGUCUAUUGUUAGCAUAUAGAAACACAGUUGAUUUUUAUAUAUUAAUUAUAUCUUGCAACCUUGCUGAGCUCAUUUAUUACUUCUAGUAGGUGAAAUUAUUCCUAAAUCAGCUUGUUUUUAAGCUUGUUAAAGUGGGUCUGGAGUUGUCCUUAUUUUCUCAUAACUCUUUAAAAAAAAAAAUCAACCAGCCCUCUAAUAACCUUUUCUUAAGGUAUAACCUCUCUGGGAUUGAAUUUAAUGCCAUGGGCAAUCAAUAAGAACUCUCCAGUUUUGCUAGUUUAGAAUUUGAAUAACUUCUAGCACAGUGUGACCUCCAAAAUCUCCAUUCAGCUCACAGCUUUCUGGUAGUUAUUC